rnacentral:lncRNA from 1 species
UAAGUGCAUCCCACACAUAUAUACACACACCCCACAUCUUUUCUAUCCACUCGUCUGUCAGUGGGUCUAGGUGGCUUCCAUGUCCUGGCUCUUGUGAACAGUGCUGCAGUGAACGUUGGGGUGCCUGUGUCCUUUUGAAUCGUGGUUUCUCAGGGUGUGUGCCCAGGAGUGGGAUUGCUGGGUUGUAUGGCAGUUCUACUUUCAGCUUUUUUAGGAACCUCCGUACUUCCCCACAGUGGCUGAAUCAACUUACAUUCCCACCAACAGAGCCCGGGAGUUAGUUCCCUUGUCCUUGCACCCUUUCCAGCACUUGUUUGUAGGCUGUUUCGGCGAUGGCCGUCCUGAGCUUGUGAGGCGCCUCACUGUAGUUCGGUUUGCAUUCCUCUGACAGCUAGUGGUGCUGGACAUCUUUUCAUGUGCCCCUGGGGCAUCUGUCUGUCUUCUUUGGGGAAAUGUCUGUUUACGUCUUGGGUCCAUUUUUUGAUUGGGCUGUUUACUGCAGGGAGAUCACCUGCUCAUUUUAGUGAUGGAGAAGCUGAAGCUGAGAAAUCUGCCCAAACCUCAGCAGUGAGAGGGAUGGGGCUGCCGCUGGAACGGGCCUCUCAGGUCCCACCCCUGUGUUCACCACCCCGUGAGCUGUCUGCUGUGAAGACGCACAUCCAGGAGCACACACAGAAGGACCUGCAAGGCACCUUCAGAGACAGAGGAGAUGUGUCUGGUCCAGGUUGGUCUUCAGAGGCACAGCUGCCCAGAUGACAUUUUGAGGUCCCUUCCGGAACUGAUCUACGGUUCCAGUAACAAGAAGAUCCACCAUGAGACUCUGCUUUCAGGCAUCACGUCUGUAAUUGGCUACUGGAGAAGCUUCUCUGGCCGUGUAGGCCACGAGGGGGAGAUGCAGCGUUCCCCCCGAGCGUGGAGCGGCCCUUGGCGUUGCCGCUCCAGCGGCCACUAGCCUUUGACGAUCAUUNNNNNNNNNNNNNNNNNNNNNNNNNNNNNNNNNNNNNNNNNGGGGGGGGGGGGGGGGGGGGGGGGGACGGACCGUGCAGGCCGCGUCAAGGUUAGCCUCGACGUGUGGCUGGGGGGGCCAGGGCCCCUGGGAGCAUCUUCAAAGACCCUGUCCUCGGAGAGCCCAGUUCAGAAGUCAGAUUCCCCUGAGGCCCACAGAGACAGGGUUCUGGCACGAAUGUGCUUUACUUCCAAGGGUAGCGUUUAGUCGCUAAGCUGUGUCCAACUCUGCAACCACAUGGAUGGUACCCGCCAGGCUCCUCCGUCCGUGAAAUUCUCCAGGCAAGCAUACUGGACUGGGUUGUCAUUUCCUUCCCAGACCAGGGAUUGAACCCUCAUCUCCUGCAUUGGCAGGUGGAUUCUCUACCACCGAGUGACCUGCAAAUCCCCAAAAGAUGUGUGUACCUCCCCAGAUAAGAGGCUUGGCAUUUUGGAGGGCAGGGAGGGAGGGUUCUGCAGCGAGCCCCAAAGGGAAAUGCUUAGACUCUGAGUUUUCCCGAGGGCUGCAGCAGCCUUGACCAUGAGCUCUGGCAUCUGCCCCUGGCUCCAAGGACCGGCUUGGGGAAGGUGCCUCCAGCAAAUCCUUGAUUUCCCCUCCUUUAGACAACCUUUCCAGUCCAGCUUUCUCAGGGCAGUGCACACACACAUACCCAUUGGACCUCUCUGGCGGUCCAGUAGUUGAGAAUCCGCCUGCCAGCCUGCAGGGGACACCGGUUCAAUCACUGGAUCGGGAAGAUUUCACAUGCUGUGGAUCAACUAAGCCUGAGCACCACAGCUGCUGGUGCACGCACACCCUAGAGUCCAUGCUCUGCCACGGGAAGGGCCGGUGGAGUGAGAAGCUCACGCCCUGCCACCAGAGAGUAGCUCCGGCUCACCGUAACGAGAGAAAGUCCACCCACAGCACUGAAGGCCCAGGGCCGCCAAGACNNNNNNNNNNNNNNNNNNNNNCCAGUCACGGCGUGCCCAACAACCACCUGGUCUGCAAGCCCCCUCCGCUGCUUCUCUAUUGCUCCCUGCUUGGUUUUCCACAAAUACUAAGUGUGCUAAGACAUACAAGGGAAUUCCGUGGCAGUUCGGUGGUUAGGACUCAGAGCUUUCACUGCCAUGAAAUACACACAGUGAAACGAUACUGUCAUUACUGACUCUCUCGCCCCCGCCCCGAUUCAGUCACCCUCAGCUGCACAGAUCUCUCACAUUCCUUUCCUCCUGCUCCCAUGACCAUCGUCUCCCACCAAACCCCCAUCACUGCAAUAGGAGUGAACACUGCUAUAGACCGGAUUAUCACAGGCUAGGCAUUGUUCUUCUGCAUUUUAACACUC